UGGGUCUAUCAUUUUAAAAAGUUCUUAAUAGUAACCUAGCAAACACAAUGUUGCCUAGUGAACACUAAAAAGUACUUUUUUAUCCAAUGCUAUCCUUAAAAAAAAAUGAAAAAUUCAAAUGUUUUUAUACAACUCAUAUUAAGUCGACUCCUAUAUUGAUAUAUUUAGUAACAAUGUUUGCAUGAAAAAACAAUUUGAUUUUGUAUCUGUAUAAUCCGUCAAAUCAACCCGAGUUUUCCUUAGCAACGCAUAGUUAGUUUUAAGUAAACAGUUGAAGAACAUUUAAAAAGAUGUUUAGUGUCACUGAG
rnacentral:lncRNA from 1 species